UUUUUAUUCUUUCUUUCUUUUUUUUUCCCCCUUGUACGAGGGAUUGAACCCAGGGAUGCUUAACCACUGAGCCACGUCCCCAGCCCUUUAAAAAAAUAUUUUAUUUAAAGAUAGGGUCUCACUGAGUUGUUAAAGGACUUGUUGUUACUGAGGCUGGCUUUGAACUCGCAAUCCUCCUGCCUCAGCCUCUUGAGAUGCUGGGAUUACAGGCGUGCACGAUGGCACUGGGUUCAGACUUUUUAUUCUUAUUUUUGCUGGAUAUAGACUCUCUGUUGCUACAUUUUUCUGCUGUUCUGCAGACCAUUCCACUGCCUUCUAGGCUCUGUUAUUUCUGAUGAGAAGUUGGCGACUAGUUUGAUUGGCAUUCUAUGUGACAAAUCAUUUUUCUCUUGCUGCUUUCAAAAUCCAGUCAUUGUCUCUGGUUUUUAGCAUUUUUACAGUGAAGUAUCUGGAUGCUCAUAUCUCUCUCUCUCUCUCUCUUUUCUUUAUUUAUAUAUGACAGCAGAAUGCAUACAAUUCUUAUUACACAUAUACAGCACAAUUUUCAUAUCUCUGGUUGUAUACAAAGUAUAUUCACACCAAUUCGUGUCUUCAUACAUGUACUUUGGAUAAUAAUUUCCAUCGCAUUCCACCAUCCUUGCUAACCCCUGCCCCCUCCCUUCCCCUCCCACCCCUCUGCCCUAUAUAGAGUUCGUCUAUUCUUCCCAUGCUCCCCCUCCCUACCCCACUAUGAAUCAGACUCCUUAUAUCAGAGAAAACAUUUGGCAUUUGUUUUUUCGGAUUGGCUAACUUCACUUAGCGUUAUCUUCUCUAACUCCAUCCAUUUACCUGCAAAUGCCAUGAUUUUAUUCUUUUUUAUCGCUGAUUAAUAUUCCAUUGUGUAUAGAUGCCACUUUUUUUUUGGUAUCCAUUUAUCUAUUGAAGGGCAUCUAGGUUGGCUCCACAGUUUAGCUAUUGUGAAUUGUGCUGCUGUAAAUGUUGAUGUGGCUUGGAUGUGCAUCUCUUGACGUGCCUUAAGUUUCUUUUUUCGGCUGUACAAAGCUAUAUUUUGUUAAGUUUCUUGAGUGCAUAGCUUUCUUUCCCCCUAUCAAAUCUGAAAACUUACUGACCGUUAUUUCUUUGACUAUUUUCCCUGCUUGUUUCUUUCUGACCCCUCCUUCUAGUAAUCCCAUUAUGCAGAUGUGCGUGGGCUGACUGGUGUCCAUGUUUCUCCAAGGUCCUGCUCAUUUCCUCCAUUUUUAUUAUGUCUCUGCUCUUUGUAUUACAUAAUAUUUACUGACUUAUCUUCAAGUUCACUGAAUUCUUUCUUCUGUCAGUUCAAAUCUAUUGCUGAGUCCCUCUAGUGAAUUUUUCAUAUUAUUAUGUAUUUUUAGCUCC
rnacentral:lncRNA from 1 species